ensembl:lncRNA
AAGCACAGCCAUGGCUAGAGAAUGAUAAUGAGUGAAUUGUUAGCAGGCUAAUAAUGAUUAGCCAGAAUGAUGGGGACGCUUCUCUGCAGAUAUUUGAGCUGAGACUGAGGUGAUGAAAAGGAACCGGACAUACAGACAUCUGGGAGAAAGUUGUUUCAGGAAGAGACAACAGAAGGUGCAAAGUUCCAGACUUUUGAGUGAGGUUGGCAUGCUUCAGGAACCAAAAGAGGUCCACCUACGUGUCUGACCUACGGCAAGGGAAGUGGAUAUCUCAGGAGGAUCCAGCUUUGCCCAGGGAUCAAACCCAAGCCGCCUCCAUUGGGAAGUGGGAGCCUUAGCCGCUGGACCACCGGGGACAUCCCUCUCACUGUCAUUUUGAUUCAAUUUCCCUGCUGCUGCUGCUGCUGCUAAGUCGCUUCAGUCGCGUCUGACUCUGUGCGACCCCAGAGACGGCAGCCCACCAGGUUCCCCCGUCCCUGGGAUUCUCCAGGCAAGAACACUGGAGGGGGUUGCCAUUUCCUUCUCCAAUGCAUGAAAGUGAAAAGUGAAAGUGAAGUCGCUCAGUCGUGUCCGACUCCUAGCGACCCCAUGGACUGCAGCCUACCAGGCUCCUCCAUCCAUGGGAUUUGCCAGGCAAGAGUACUGGAGUGGGGUGCCAUUGCCCUCUCCCUAAUGACUAGCAAUUUGGCACAGUUUUUCAUGUGUAUAUUUGUCAGAUACAUAUCUUCUUUGAUGUCAUGUCUGUUCAAAUCUUUAGCUCAUUUUUCUACUGGGUUGUUUGUUUUUUAUUAUUGAGUUUUAAGAUACUACUGUUGACUGAAUUGUGUCCCCACAAAUUCAUACGUUGAAGCACUAACCCCCUAUCCCACUACUUCAUGUAUUUGGAAACAGAAGUUUUAGAGGUUAAUUAAGAUUAAUGAGGUCAUAAGGUUGGAGUCUAAGAAUUGGUGGCCUUACAGGAAGGUAGUGCCUGGGCCCUGAGGACAGGCUUUGUGAGGACACGGGAAACAGGCUGAUGCUACGGGCCAGAAAUAGAGUCCUCACCAGCGCUCAGCCCUGCUGGCACUCUGAUCUCAGAUUUCUAGACUCCAGAACUGAGAGAAAAUAAAUUUCUGCUGGUUAAGCCACCCAGUCAAUGGAAUUUUUGUUAUGAAUCCUGAGCACACGAGAUGGAUUACAUAUAUCUGAUACGUAUGGAUAUGUAGACAUACACCCACAUGUAUGUAACAUAUGCAUUUUUCUUAUUACAAGCCCUUAUGAGAUAUAUGCUUUGCAAAUACUUUCUCACAGUCUCAGGCUUUUCCUUCCAUUUUAAAAACUGUUUAUAGAAGAACAGAUGUUUUUAGUUUUGAUAAAGUUCAAUUUAUUAAUUCUUUCCUUUUGGAAACAUGCUUUGUGUGUCAAAUAUAAGAAAACAUCGCCUAACUCAAGGUCCCAAAGAUUUUCUCCUGUGUUUUCCCUUAGGAAUUUUAUAGGUUUAUGUUUUAGGUUUCAGUCUGUAAUUAAUUUUGAGUUAAUUUGUGUUUCAUGCAAAGUAUGAAGCAAAGUACAGUGGGGGUUUUCUUCAUGUAGAAAUACAGUCACUACAUAUUGUAGCUUUAUAAUAAAUUUUGAAGUCAUGUAGUGUUAGUCUUCCAACUGUAUUCUUCUUUUUUCAAAGUUGUUUUGGCUACUGUAGGUCUGCAUUUCUAAAUAAAUUUUGGGAUCACUGUGAUUUUCUUUUUUAAAAUAUUUAUUUUGCUGCACAGGGUCUUAGUUGCAGACUAUGGGAUCUUAGUUCCCUGACCAGGGACUGAACUCGGGCCCCUUGCAUUUGGAGCAUGGAGUCUUAACCACUGGACACCCAGGGAAAUUCCUCAAUUAAAAAAAUAUAUAUAUCUGCUGGGAUUUUGAUUGAGAUUUCAUUGAAUAUAUACACCACUUGGGGGGAAUUAACAUUUUAGCAAUGGUGGGUGUUUCUGAUCUUUGAACACAGUGCAUGCG